rnacentral:rRNA from 1 species
UACGGGGGGGGCAAGCGUCGUUCGGAAUUACUGGGCGUAAAGGGCGUGUAGGCGGCCAACUAAGUCCGACGUGAAAUCCCCAGGCUUAACCUGGGAACUGCGUCGGAUACUGGAUGGCUUGAAUCCGGGAGAGGGAUGCAGAAUUCCAGGUGUAGCGGUGAAAUGCGUAGAUAUCUGGAGGAAUACCGGUGGCGAAGGCGGCAUCCUGGACCGGCAUUGACGCUGAGGCUCGAAAGCAUGGGGAGCAAACAGG